AGAGGAAGAACCAUGAUGCGGAGCAUCAUUUAGAAUGGUUCCGACGAAAUGACGCCAAACGAAGAGCGGGGGCACUUCCU
rnacentral:sRNA from 1 species